AAUUUAAUUUAUUAAUGUAUUUUUUUUUUUUUUGAUUUUUUAUAAAAAUAAUUUAUUUAUUUAAGGUUUUAGUAUUUAUUAAAAAUUAAUUUAUAGAUUUAUAGUUUAAUAGUAUUGUGAAAGAAAUUAUUAAAUUUUUAAAAGAAUUUAAUUAGUACCUUUUGUAUCAGGGUUGAUUAAAAUUUUUAAUUUUUUUUUAAUUUCUCAAAAUUUAUAGAGUUAAUUUUAUUAUUAAUUUAUUGUGUUAUAAAUAUUUAAAAAAUAAUAUUAGUUUUGAAAUUUAAUUCGUUAUAUUAUAUUUAGUUAUUUAAGAUUUAAAUUUAAUUUAAAAUUUUAAAAGUUAUGUUAAUUUUAUUGAUUAAUAUUUUAAAUUUAAAUUAUUUUAGGGAUAAGCUUGAAAUUUUUAUAUAAUAAUUUAUUUAUUUUAAUAAUUUAUAGGAAUAGAAAUUUUUAUUUUAAGUUUGUAAAAAUUUAUUAUUUGUUUAAUUUUAAUUUAUUAUAUUUAUAUUUAUUUUUUUUAUUAAAUUUUAUUAAUUAAUAUUUAAUUAAUAGUAAUAAUGAUUAAAUUAGUAUAAUAUGGAUAUUUAUAAAUUAUGAAUUCGGCAAAAAUUAUUUUCAUCUGUUUAACAAAAACAUUGUAUUAAGUUUAAUUUAAUAUAGGAUCUGCUCAAUGAUUUAUUAAAUAGCUGCAGUAUUUUGACUGUGCAAAGGUAGCAUAAUAAUUAGUCUUUUAAUUGAGGACUUGUAUGAAAGAUUUGAUGAGAAAUAAACUUUAUUAUUUAUAAAAUUAAAAUUUUAUUUUUAAGUAAAAAAGCUUAAAUUAUUUAAAGGGACGAUAAGACCCUAUAAAACUUUAUAAAUUUUGAUUUUAAUUUUUUUGGAUUUAUAAAUAUUUUAUUAUUAAAAUUUAUUUUAUUGGGGUGAUAAAAAAAAUUAUUAAACUUUUUUUAAAGUUUAACAUUAUUUAAUGAAUAUUUGAAUUAAAAUUUUUAAUUAAAGGAAAAAGUUACUUUAGGGAUAACAGCGUAAUUAAUUUUUUAAGUUCAAAUUUAAAAAUUAGUUUGCGACCUCGAUGUUGAAUUAAGAUUAAUUUUAGGUGCAAAAUUUUAAAUUUUAGGUCUGUUCGACCUUUAAAUUCUUACAUGAUUUGAGUUCAAACCGGUGUAAGCCAGGUUGGUUUCUAUCUUUUAAUAAUUAAUUUAUUUUAGUACGAAAGGAUUAAAUAAUUAAAUUAAAUUUU
rnacentral:rRNA from 1 species